GGGCCCAUAGCUCAGCUGGUAGAGCGCCGCUUUUGCAAAGCGGAGGCCAGCGGUUCGAACCCGCUUGGGUCCA
rnacentral:tRNA from 1 species